UACGUAGGUGGCUAGCGUUGUCCGGAUUUACUGGGCGUAAAGAGCGCGCAGGCGGUCGUUCAAGUCGAGUGUGAAAGCCCCCGGCUCAACUGGGGAGGGUCACUCGAUACUGAUCGACUUGAAGGCGGGAGAGGGAAGCGGAAUUCCCGGUGUAGUGGUGAAAUGCGUAGAGAUGUGGAGGAACACCAGUGGCGAAGGCGGCUUUCUGGUCUGUAACUGACGCUGAGGCGCGAAAGCGUGGGGAGCAAACAGG
rnacentral:rRNA from 1 species